rnacentral:rRNA from 1 species
UACGGGGGGAGCAAGCGUUGUUCGGAUUUACUGGGCGUAAAGGGCGCGUAGGCGGUCAGCACAAGUCAGUUGUGAAAUCUCCGGGCUUAACCCGGAAAGGUCAACUGAUACUGUGCGACUAGAGUGCGGAAGGGGCAACUGGAAUUCUCGGUGUAGCGGUGAAGUGCGUAGAUAUCGAGAGGAACACCUGCGGCGAAGGCGGGUUGCUGGGCUGAUACUGACGCUGAGGCGCGAAAGCCAGGGGAGCAAACGGG